CAGUGUUAUUCAUUCAUUCAGCAAACACGUACUGAGUGCCACCUACGUCCCAGGCUCAGUGCCCAGGCAGUGAGGACUUCAGCUUCCAGGAGCUUCUGUCUGGCAAGAAGAGGCCUGCCCAUCAGCUGGUGUGAAUAAGACUUAAAAGCAGGCAGUGCCGAAUAAGAAAGAAUAAAAGACAAGAGGGACAGACACAGAGGCAGGAGAGGAGUUCAGUCACGCACGGGCUUUGGUGCAUCUUCCGGCCCAGCUCUUGGCAGGUCAUCACCUGCGUCGAACCGGAACCUCCGCGUGUCAGGAGCACGAGGCCCCGGGCCUGGAGGCCGGAGAAACUCACCCAGG
rnacentral:lncRNA from 1 species